CAGUGCCAUGUCCGUGCCCAGGAUCUGAACCCUGGGCCGCUGCAGCGGAGAGUGCGAACUUAACCACUCGGCCACGGGGCUGGCCCCGUUACUUACUUUUUUUUAAAGCUAUAAUUGCUGCCCUGUUUUUCCUCCCAGCCCCCGAGCCUUGAAGAAGCUCUCUAUUAUUUAGCCCCAGCCUGCAGAACUCCAUUGACUGGACCGACUCCUGGCUCCCCUUUAAGAAGAAGGGGAUGACAACCAUAAAGGCUCAGAAGGCAGUGAGGGCGAAGAUCACUGAUGUUUUCAGAAGAAUGAGCUUGCAAGAGCACCCUACUUUGCUGGCAGGUCCUGCUUGGUCCUUCUAAUAUUUGACUGUGGAAGGUGGGAAUAGUUGGCCUAAAUGUCUUGGAGCCUCAGCUGAAACUUAGGUAGAAAUAAAUAGUCCAAUUUUUAAUAUCCUGUUAUAAAAUCAUCCCAAAUUUCUGAUGAGAUGGCUAUCAUUAUUUAUAUUCUAUAGAUGGGGAAAUUACAGCUCAGAGAGGAUAAGUAAAUGUAAGUGGAUAAGUCAGGAUUUGAACCCAGGUCUGUCUGAUUCAAAGUCCAAGAUUUAUUUUAUAUAGAGAUGGCUUAAAAUUCCUCUCUGGGCAAUGCUCUUGACUCACGGUGUCAGUUUCAUACAUGGCUCUUAUGCUAUCAGUUGGGUGACUAUACAUACCAGUUUGUAUAGGCCAGUCUAGGUUAACACAUAUUGUCCUCACAUAAUUAUCAGUAGUGAUCCCUCUUAUCUCAAGUUUGGACAAUAGGUUGUAAGUUCACUGUAACCAUUGGGGGUUGAGGGUAUGGUGCAGAGGGAUCAGAAGCACCAGAAGUUUAUUGGGGGGCAGACUCUUCCAGUCGAGUUUUCAAAGGCUGGCUUAGACCUUGCAGGGAACAUCUGCACUGGGGAGAUGAAGUCCAGGCUGGCUCCCAGAUGCGAGGAUGCCUGGGAACAGCCCUAGGUCAACCCCAGCCUGGUGGGACAUCCAGCUGGAGAGGGUAGUUUCUUCAGGAAGUGGACAUAAAGUCCAUGUGGGGGGAAGGUUGUGAGAAAAAUACAUGUCCACUGUUGAUUCCAGAAAACUUCGGAGUUUCUCCAUUUCAUUCUUCCUCACUGUACCCUUCUAGCUUAGAACGCUUUUACUCUAAUGAUGACAAGCUGAUCUUCUUGACUGCUGUUCCUCCAUCUAAUCCAUCCUGCCUAUUGAAACCAGAGUGAUUUUUCUAAAAUCAAAAUCUGACUGCUGCUAUUUCUCAGUUUAACAGCCUUCAAUGGCUUCCUGUUGCCUUCAGAUUAAACUCCUAAUUCUCGAAUGUGGCUUCAAGUUUCCUUGAGAUCCGGCUCCUAUGCUCAUCUCUAGUCCCUUCUCUUACUUCUACGCCUGGUGCUCGGUGAACGUUGGUUCAGCCACAGUAAACUUCUUCUCAGAAUGCUGAGCCCUCUCACUGUGAUCCUUUGCACGUGUUCUUUUUGCGCCUAGGACACCCUUUCCUAGGUCUGCUAGGGCCGGACUGCCUCCAACUCCUUCUUCCCUCCAGUUUGGGAAGCAUGUGAGCAUCACAACAGCUCUUGCUCUGAAAUUGCCUGUUGCCUGUCUGCAUUUCCCCACUAGCCCUGAAGCUCUCUGGGGACCUGGCUUCUUUCCAUCUUCUUCACCCCUGUAUCAUUAGCCCCUGUCACAGGGCUUGGCACACUGUAGGUCCCAGGUCAGUAUUUGGUGAUAUUUUGUUUACACUUGCCACAAUUACUAAAAGCCAAACAAUCAAAACACGAGACAUCUGAGCUCAGCGUAGCUCAUGGAUGUCUGUUAGGCAUGGUGCGCAUACCUAGGCUGACUCCCUGUGCAAAUGAGGAGAGUCUGUAGAUAAUAAGUUUUAAAAAUUGGGUUUCUUUUUAAAAGGAACAUGAUCCAUAAUAGCCAAAAAAUGAAAUCAUGAAUCAGCUUAAUAUCCAGUCAUGGGUGAAUGGUUUAAUAGAUUAUGGCUCAUAUAUUGAAAAAGAUACUAUGGAACAUUGACAAAUAUAAUGAGUUAUAAAGACUAAGUAGCAAUGUGCAAAAAUGAUUAUGAUUAGUAUUAAUUGAAAAAAAGGAGAAUUGCCAAUUGCAUACUUGCUGUUCUUGUGACUACAUAAUGUGUGUGUGUGUGUGUGUGUGAAUGUGCAUGGGAGUGUGGAGUGCUAGAAAGAGUGGAAAAAUAUUGAGAAAAUUUAAGAUGAUGGGGUGAUUUUUUUUAAUCCUCAAAAGCAGUUCUAAUAUUGACUUUAUAUCUUCUUUUUCUUCAAUAAGAAUAAUAUUAAAAGAAUAUUUCAAAACCAAUCUGAUACUCCAAAAUGUUAAAAUGAUUCUUUCUGGAUGGUAGUAUUAAAGGGAAUUUUAACAAUUUCCUAAUAAUUUCUGUAUUUCCUUAUUUGUCUCCAGUGCAUAUUUAACAUUUAUAAUUAAUUAAAAGCAAUACAGAGAAUAUUCACUCUCUUCCCUUGCUCAGUUUCCACACGUAUACUUCCCCAUUGAUCUUGGGCACGGCUAUUUGACUUGCUUUGGCUGAUGGGUUGGAUGGUGGACAUGAUGCAGCAAAUGUGUUUGUAUUGGGGCCUUGCCGCCUUGUACUUCCCCCAUAACCAUGAAAAAAACACGCUCUGGAUAGAUUGUCCAACCAAGAAAAAGGAGACACAUGGAGCAGACCCGGACCCAACCUUCAGCUUGGAGCUAAGACCAACAGAGCCCAGCCUAGAACAGCUGACCUCAGACAACCCACAAAUGUAAACUUAGCACAAUGCAGAGUGAGCUGCCGGAUCCAGUGAGAGCACGUGAGAGGCUGUCCUCUCAGGGAGAACCUGAAAGUGGGAGGCACCCCUCACCUCAGCCCCCAGAGGCCCUGGAGUGGGAUUGGAAGGACAAGCACAAGGACAUCGACCAGCCUGGCUAACUGCCACCACUGCCUUCUGUGAGCUGUGUGUCAAUCUACUUUUGUCUGGUUUGAAUCCAGCAUACAGUUCCAAAGCACUUUCACAGCCCUUAGCUCAUCGAAGCACAUGAUCUUGCCUGAGAUUUUUCCUAUCAUCACUUUCCGGGUUUCUGGUUAGGUGGCUUGUUCAAGAUGACACUGAUAGGAAGUGAGUCUGCCCCCUGUUAGCUGUGUGACCUUAGGCAGUCUACUUAACCUCUCUGAGUACCUUGUCUGUAAACUGAGGCUAGGUUGUAACAAUACCUACCUCAGAGGGCUUUUACAAAGAUUAAAUAAAGCAAUGUUUUGGUUUUCUUUGGUUGGUUUCCUUAGCUUUUGCUUAAAACAACAAAAAAAUUCCCCAAAUCUUGUAUUAUGAUAUUUGGUAGAUAGAUAAUACAAAUUCAUUGAAGAAAAAUUAGGAAAAAAGUUACCAGAGUUCUACACCCAAAGAUACUAGUAUUAACAUAACUGAUCUACAACUUUCUGAUUAUUUUCUUUGUUUGCACACACAGAGACACGUUUCACAAAAACUGGUCAUACAUACUAUUUUGCAACUUGUUUUUGCCCCCUAACAAAUUUUUAUAAACAUAUUUUCUUGCUAAGAGAUGGGUCUACAAUAUGUGUAUUAAUGGUUGCAUAAUAUUUCAUUUUAUGGAUGUAAUAUAUUUUUACAUAUCUAAUCUCCCACUUUUUGAUUUUUAAUUUCUUUUUCUUUUUAAUUUUACUUUUCCUUUUUCUCCCCAAAGCCCCCCA